rnacentral:rRNA from 1 species
UGCUUAGCCCUAAACAUAGACAAUACUAAUACAAUAUUGUCCGCCAGAGAACUACAAGUGAAAAACUAGAAACUCUAAGGACUUGGCGGUACCCCACAUCAGCCUAGAGGAGCCUGUCCUAUAAUCGAUAAUCCACGCUGCACCUUACCAUUUCUGGAAACUCAGCCUAUAUACCGCCGUCGAAAGCUUACCCUAUGAAAGAAACAAAGUAAGCAAAACAGUUAAUAACUAAAACGUCAGGUCAAGGUGUAGCACAUGAAAUGGAAGAGAUGGGCUACAUUUUCUACUUCAGAAAAUACGAACAGCACAAUGAAAUCUGUACUUAAAGGCGGAUUUAGCAGUAAGGUAAAAAAGAGACUUUACCUUAAACCCGCUCUGGGGCGCGCACACACCGCCCGUCAC